GACGAACGCUGGCGGCGUGCUUAACACAUGCAAGUCGAACGGAAAGGCCCUGCUUUUGUGGGGUGCUCGAGUGGCGAACGGUGAGUAACACGUGAGUAACCUGCCCUUGACUUUGGGAUAACUUCAGGAAACUGGGGCUAAUACCGGAUAGGAGCUCCUGCUGCAUGGUGGGGUUGGAAGGUUUCGGCGGUUGGGGAUGGACUCGCGGCUUAUCAGCUUGUUGGUGGGGUAGUGGCUUACCAAGGCUUUUGACGGGUAGCCGGCCUGAGAGGGUGACCGGCCACAUUGGGACUGAGAUACGGCCCAGACUCCUACGGGAGGCAGCAGUGGGGAAUAUUGCACAAUGGGCGGAAGCCUGAUGCAGCAACGCCGCGUGCGGGAUGACGGCCU
rnacentral:rRNA from 1 species